AACGUAGGAGACAAACGUUAUCCGGAGUUACUGGGCGUAAAGGGCGUGUAGGUGGUUACGUAAGUCUGGCGUGAAAUUUCUCGGCUUAACCGAGGCAGGUCGUCGGAUACUGCGAGACUAGAGGACGGUAGAGGCGUGUGGAAUUCCGGGUGUAGCGGUGGAAUGCGUAGAGAUCCGGAAGAACACCGGUGGCGAAGGCGGCCUGCUGGGCAGUGGGGGAGACCCCUUCAAGCUGACACUGAGGCGCGACAGCGUGGGGAGCAAACAGG
rnacentral:rRNA from 1 species